UACAGAGGGGGCAAGCGUUGUUCGGAAUUACUGGGCGUAAAGGGCGCGUAGGCGGCCUGUUAAGUCGAACGUGAAAUCCCCGGGCUCAACCCGGGAACUGCGUCCGAUACUGGUGGGCUUGAAUCCGGGAGAGGGAUGUGGAAUUCCAGGUGUAGCGGUGAAAUGCGUAGAUAUCUGGAGGAACACCGGUGGCGAAGGCGGCAUCCUGGACCGGUAUUGACGCUGAGGCGCGAAAGCCAGGGGAGCAAACGGG
rnacentral:rRNA from 1 species